AUGAACGCUGGCGGCGUGCCUAAUACAUGCAAGUCGAGCGAACGGACGAGAAGCUUGCUUCUCUGAUGUUAGCGGCGGACGGGUGAGUAACACGUGGAUAACCUACCUAUAAGACUGGGAUAACUUCGGGAAACCGUAGCUAAUACCGGAUAAUAUUUUGAACCGCAUGGUUCAAAAGUGAAAGACGGUCUUGCUGUCACUUAUAGAUGGAUCCGCGCUGCAUUAGCUAGUUGGUAAGGUAACGGCUUACCAAGGCAACGAUGCAUAGCCGACCUGAGAGGGUGAUCGGCCACACUGGAACUGAGACACGGUCCAGACUCCUACGGGAGGCAGCAGUAGGGAAUCUUCCGCAAUGGGCGAAAGCCUGACGGAGCAACGCCGCGUGAGUGAUGAAGGUCUUCGGAUCGUAAAACUCUGUUAUUAGUGAAGAACAUAUGUGUAAGUAACUGUGCACAUCUUGACGGUACCUAAUCAGAAAGCCACGGCUAACUACGUG
rnacentral:rRNA from 1 species